AUCAGAAUGUCGCGGUGAAUACGUUCCCGGGCCUUGUACACACCGCCCGUCACACCAUGAGAGUUGGCAAUACCCAAAGUUCGUGAGCUAACCCGUAAGGGAGGCAGCGACCUAAGGUAGGGUCAGCGAUUGGGGUGAAGUCGUAACAAGGUAGCCGUAGGAGAACCUGCGGCUGGAUCACCUCCUUUCUAUGGAGA
rnacentral:rRNA from 1 species